rnacentral:rRNA from 1 species
UACAGAGGGUGCAAGCGUUGUUCGGAAUUAUUGGGCGUAAAGCGCGUGUAGGCGGCCGUGCAAGUCGGGUGUGAAAGCCCUCGGCUCAACCGAGGAAGUGCGCCCGAAACUGCAUGGCUUGAGUACCGGAGAGGAUGGCGGAAUUCCCCAAGUAGAGGUGAAAUUCGUAGAUAUCCGGAGGAACACCAGUGGCGAAAGCGGCCACCUGGACUGCACCUGACGCUGACACGCGAAAGCUAGGGGAGCGAACGGG